GCACGGACGUAAACAGCAGCUGUCAAACUUUUCGGGAAAAUUUAGCUUCGCGGGUGUUUUUUUGCGAGAGGAAAUGCCUUCAGCGUGUUUGUUGGACUUUAUUGGACACGUGCGCGCUGCAGUUUGGUGCCUGGUGCAUGCCUGGGUCCUUCAGAGGAGUUGCUGGAUCAUCAUCCUAUACAGGCAAAGACCCCGUUGAUCCGCAUCCCGCCAGAGACCCAGAACUACUCAGAUCAGCCACUUCCCCAGCAGCUUCAUUGCCAUCCUUUACCUGUCUGGAACCUGUACCUGCAUUUAAGCUUGUACCUUAAAUUUACCAAGAAAUCCUUGAAAUGUUCCUGUUUUGCUGUUUCUGAUUGGGUCUUUAUGCUCAUUUGGCCGCAUGCAAGAAACAUUAUAACAAACAAAUAAAAUGUCUCUU